rnacentral:rRNA from 1 species
GACGAACGCUGGCGGCGUGCUUAACACAUGCAAGUCGAACGGAAAGGCCCUGCUUGCAGGGUGCUCGAGUGGCGAACGGGUGAGUAACACGUGGGUGAUCUGCCCCUUACUUUGGGAUAAGCCUGGGAAACUGGGUCUAAUACUGGAUAGGACCAUGCUGUAGGUGGUGUGGUGGAAAGAUUAGUUUCGGUAAGGGAUGAGCUCGCGGCCUAUCAGCUUGUUGGUGGGGUAAUGGCCUACCAAGGCGUCGACGGGUAGCCGGCCUGAGAGGGUGGACGGCCACAUUGGGACUGAGAUACGGCCCAGACUCCUACGGGAGGCAGCAGUGGGGAAUGUUGCACAAUGGGCGCAAGCCUGAUGCAGCGACGCCGCGUGGGGGAUGACGGCCUUCGGGUUGUAAACUCCUUUCAGCCAUGACGAAGCCCUUGUGGUGACGGUAGUGGUAGAAGAAGCACCGGCUAACUACGUG